GCUCAGUCUUGUGCUUAUCAAUGAAACUACAUAUGCUAUUUCUUUUAUAGCUUUAGUUUUAGGAGCUGUACCUAAAAAAGGAAGAUUUUUGUUGGGGAAGUAGGGGAUCGAGGGGUGUUGGUUGGAGCAUUUUAGUAAUUUGAUUGCAAAACUGUUAUGCUAUUUCUUUUAUAACUUUAAUUCUAGGAACUGUACCUAAAAAAGGAAGGUGUUUUUGGUUUUUGUUGGGGGAAGUAGGGGAUGGAGGGGUUGUUUGUUGGAGCAUCUUAGCAAUUUGAUUGCAAAACUGGUCAUACAUGUAAUGACUAGAUCUCCUUACUUUAGUUAUCUCAUCCUUAAAGAGUUCAAAAAUAGUUGAAUCUCUAGUAAAAUGGUAAUAUUCAUAAGGGAUUCUAUAUUCUAUGGAUUUUGCAAUUUCAUUUCAUUUUCGAUUGGCAUCUUUCAAAGUUUUUUGUAAUUAGAUUAUCAAUGUUGAAAUAAUAGAUUGCCAAUAAGGAAAUGAGAACAGAAAUGAUCUCUUAUUUCUCAUAUCUUAUACAUAAGUAGAUGGAACCUUUGAGAAUUUACUAGUGUAAUGAUGGUAAGUAUCUCAUUUAUUCUUGCAUUGGCAAACAAUCCGUGAAAAUCUAGAAAAUUUUGAAG
rnacentral:misc_RNA from 1 species